UACGUAGGGGGCAAGCGUUGUCCGGAUUUAUUGGGCGUAAAGCGCACGUAGGCGGAUUGUUAAGUCGGGGGUGAAAUCCUGGAGCUCAACUCCAGAACUGCCUUCGAUACUGGCGAUCUCGAGUUCGGGAGAGGUGAGUGGAACUGCGAGUGUAGAGGUGAAAUUCGUAGAUAUUCGCAAGAACACCAGUGGCGAAGGCGGCUCACUGGCCCGAUACUGACGCUGAGGUGCGAAAGCGUGGGGAGCAAACAGG
rnacentral:rRNA from 1 species